GUUGAUGAUCAAUUUUUAAGAAUGACAGGCCUACUUAAAGCUUUUUAAGUUUUUAUAUCAGGUGACACUUCUGGUGUCAUGUAACAUAUUUGGGUCCACAAAAAAUUAGAGAGAGAUUCACUUUGUACAAGAAAUAACAUGGAGAGAUUUUGUCAUCCCUCUCUAAGCAAUGCAUGUGCAGAUAAAAAUGUUCUAGGAUACAGGCAAAAUUUUAUGCUGGCCAGGCCUAAUUUAAAUUGUGGAGUUCUGGUAAAUUGGCCUGGCAAUCAUUAAUCGUCAACUGUUUCGAAGACCUGGAUGAAAAAACGAAAAUAGAUAUAUGAUAUACCAUAGAGAAAUGAGUUGUUUUGUGGUGCUAAUAGAUCACAUAAACUUUGAUGCAGGGGAUGAUCCUCAUGUGGUUAAC
rnacentral:misc_RNA from 1 species